rnacentral:tRNA from 1 species
ACACUGAUGGUGAAACGGUAUCAUGCUUGCCUUCCAAGAAUAACGUUUCAGCAAGCGGCACGGGUUCGACUCCCGUUCAGUGUA